UGGCGGACGGGUGAGAAAUACAUCGGAAUCUACUCUGUCGUGGGGGAUAACGUAGGGAAACUUACGCUAAUACCGCAUACGACCUACGGGUGAAAGCAGGGGACCUUCGGGCCUUGCGCGAUUGAAUGAGCCGAUGUCGGAUUAGCUAGUUGGCGGGGUAAAGGCCCACCAAGCCGACGAUCCAUAGCUGGUUUGAGAGGAUGAUCAGCCACACUGGGACUGAGACACGGCCCAGACUCCUACGGGAGGCAGCAGUGGGGAAUCUUAGACAAUGGGGGCAACCCUGAUCUAGCCAUGCCGCGUGAGUGAUGAAGGCCCUAGGGUUGUAAAGCUCUUUCAGCUGGGAAGAUAAUGACGGUACCAGCAGAAGAAGCCCCGGCUAACUCCGUGCCAGCAGCCGCGGUAAUA
rnacentral:rRNA from 1 species